AUGGAGAUGCCGGCGCCGAUCAAGACGGGGUCGUGGAGCCCUGAGGAGGACGCCCUGCUGGUGGCCCUCGUCCGGCAGCAUGGCGCGCGGCGGUGGAGCGUGAUCAGCGCCGGCGUGCCCGGGCGCACGGGCAAGUCGUGCCGGCUGCGGUGGUGCAACCAGCUCAGCCCGGCCGUGCAGCACCGUCCUUUCACGGCGCAGGAGGACGCGCUCAUCAUCGCCGCGCAGGCGCGCUACGGCAACAAGUGGGCCGACAUCGCGCGCCUCCUCCCCGGCCGCACCGACAACUCCGUCAAGAACCACUGGAACUCCAACCUCCGCAGGUGCCAGCGCCGCGCCAAGGCCAUGGCCGCCGCCGCCGCCGCGCGUGCCGCCGCCUCCUCCUCGUCGUCGUCCGGAUCGGCCGCGAGAGCCAAGACGCAACAGCAGGAACAGGUCGUGGUGAUGAACGGGACGCCGCCGGCCGCCGUGCAUGGAGCGGGUAGUGCUGCUGUCGAUGACCCGCUGCCAAUGCCGUCGCUGACGCUGAGCCUGGGCCUGCCCCAGAUGGCCGCGGACAGGGCGUCGGAGGAGGCAAAGGCAAAGGAAAAGGAAAAGACACCACCGCCGGUGGGCGUGGGGGACGAUGAAGUGCGGCUGAUGGCGGCGAUGCGGCAGAUGGUGAGGGAAGAGGUGGAGAGGCAGGCAGGGCAGCUCUUGUACUCGGUCGUCAUGGCCACCACCGCUGCCAGGACCGACGGGACAUCGCCGUCCGAUCGCCCAACCAACGGCCACCACUAA
rnacentral:rRNA from 1 species